rnacentral:rRNA from 1 species
AUACGGAGGGUGCAAGCGUUACUCGGAAUCACUGGGCGUAAAGCGCGCGCAGGCGGCUUGAUAAGUUGGAUGUGAAAGCCUACGGCUCAACCGUAGAACUGCAUCCAAAACUGUCAGGCUAGAGUCUGAGAGGGGGAGAUGGAAUUAGUUGUGUAGGGGUAAAAUCCGUAGAGAUAACUAGGAAUACCAAAAGCGAAGGCGAUCUUCUGGAACAGUACUGACGCUGAGGCGCGAAAGCGUGGGGAGCAAACAGGAUUAGAAACCCUAGUAGUCC